rnacentral:rRNA from 1 species
AUUGAAUGCUGGCGGCAUGCCUUACACAUGCAAGUCGAACGGCAGCACGGGUGCUUGCACCUGGUGGCGAGUGGCGAACGGGUGAGUAAUACAUCGGAACAUGUCCUGUAGUGGGGGAUAGCCCGGCGAAAGCCGGAUUAAUACCGCAUACGAUCUACGGAUGAAAGCGGGGGACCUUCGGGCCUCGCGCUAUAGGGUUGGCCGAUGGCUGAUUAGCUAGUUGGUGGGGUAAAGGCCUACCAAGGCGACGAUCAGUAGCUGGUCUGAGAGGACGACCAGCCCAACUUGGACUGAGACACGGCCCAGACUCCUACGGGAGGCCGCAGUGGGGAAUUUUGGACAAUGGGCGAAAGCCUGAUCCAGCAAUGCCGCGUGUGUGAAGAAGGCCUUCGGGUUGUAAAGCACUUUUGUCCGGAAAGAAAUCCUUGGCCCUAAUACGGUCGGGGGAUGACGGUACCGGAAGAAUAAGCACCGGCUAACUACGUG